rnacentral:rRNA from 1 species
CUUAUCCUACGGGACGCAGCAGUAGGGAAUCUUCCACAAUGGGCGAAAGCCUGAUGGAGCAACGCCGCGUGGGUGAAGAAGGUCUUCGGAUCGUAAAACCCUGUUGUUAGAGAAGAAAGUGCGUGAGAGUAACUGUUCACGUUUCGACGGUAUCUAACCAGAAAGCUACGGCUAACUACGUGCCAGCAGCCGCGGUAAUACGUAGGUGGCGAGCGUUAUCCGGAUUUAUUGGGCGUAAAGGGAACGCAGGCGGGCUUUUAAGUCUGAUGUGAAAGCCUUCGGCUUAACCGGAGUAGUGCAUUGGG